GGGAUUGAUCGGUAUCGAUGAGAGUCGAUUUGUUCGUGAUCAAGUUGAGGGUGUGUGAUACCUCAUGAAUCCAUCACACAGACGCCAAAUGCAAAAAACGUCAUGGCGAUGAUCAAGAACGCUUUCAGUGUUCCUGCAUUCGCUCCGGUUUUCGCUUAAUUGCGUAAAACCCAUUCGUCUUCCUGAUGCUCAGUAGGGAAAUGCGGGUGCUAUAUUUAUUGAGCUCGCGUGCAUAGGUGUUCGGUCUCUUGCACGUCAAAAUUGCGAUCGAUAAUCUUGUGUGUGUUUCGUCUCGCUUCAAACACAUAGGAUUAUUCAAGCGAGACUCAACUUGCAAACGUCCGUUCAAAAACACUUAUCAGACGGGGGUUCAAUUCCCCCCAAUUCCACCA
rnacentral:tmRNA from 6 species